rnacentral:rRNA from 1 species
UGGUAGUNCACGCUGUAAACGAUGUCGACUUGGAGGUUGUGCCCUUGAGGCGUGGCUUCCGGAGCUAACGCGUUAAGUCGACCGCCUGGGGAGUACGGCCGCAAGGUUAAAACUCAAAUGAAUUGACGGGGGCCCGCACAAGCGGUGGAGCAUGUGGUUUAAUUCGAUGCAACGCGAAGAACCUUACCUACUCUUGACAUCCACGGAAUUUGGCAGAGAUGCCUUAGUGCCUUCGGGAACCGUGAGACAGGUGCUGCAUGGCUGUCGUCAGCUCGUGUUGUGAAAUGUUGGGUUAAGUCCCGCAACGAGCGCAACCCUUAUCCUUUGUUGCCAGCACUUCGGGUGGGAACUCAAAGGAGACUGCCGGUGAUGAACCGGAGGAAGGUGGGGAUGACGUCAAGUCAUCAUGGCCCUUACGAGUAGGGCUACACACGUGCUACAAUGGCGUAUACAAAGAGAAGCAAACUCGCGAGAGCCAGCGGACCUCAUAAAGUACGUCGUAGUCCGGAUUGGAGUCUGCAACUCGACUCCAUGAAGUCGGAAUCGCUAGUAAUCGUAGAUCAGAAUGCUACGGUGAAUACGUUCCCGGGCCUUGUACACACCGCCCGUCACACCAUGGGAGUGGGUUGCAAAAGAAGUAGGUAGCUUAACCUUCGGGAGGGCGCUUACCACUUUGUGAUUCAUGACUGGGGUG